ensembl:snoRNA
GUGUGGAUGACUACUGUGCUCUUUGUAUCAAUAUUUUACACAGCCAGAUACCACGCAAAAGCAAGGUUUUCCCUUGAACUGGUUUUUGAUGGUAUGUUGCCUUUUCUGUGGCACAUCAUUAUUAAAAGUGACUAUAAAU